UGGAGAGUAGUGGGCAGAGCUGAAGCAGGCCCUCGGGCUUUACCCCUCUCCUUCCAGGCAUAUGCCUCUUCUUCUAAACAUGUACUUCUGAUGGGGGCUGCCCGUCAAAUAGCUCACCCUCUGACUGCAAGUGAUUGGCUUAAAGAUGAGCAUGUGAGCCACACUGGGCCAAUCAGAUCCCUUCCCUGGGAUUUCUGCUCUUGGGCUGGAGGAAGAGGUGAGCCCUGAGCUGACCGUGUCCCGCGCUCUGGGAAGAGGCUGGUCUGAGACAAAGAAGGUGCAGUAAAGAGAGAAGCAGAUGAAGACAAAGGAAAUGUCCAGUUAAAACAUAUUCAUGUCAAAGCCACCGCGUAAGGAACACCUCAGGCCUCCCGGGAAGUGACGUGCAGCAGCCCCAGAGGCCUCGGGCUGACGGGCUGACGCUGAGGCAGCCUAACUGGCAGCCUGGGGCGGGGCACCGAACUCCUCUGGAAGCUUUUAUGAGGAAGAAAUAUUCUGUAGCUGAAAAGAAAAAUAAAAUGUUUGAAAACUGU